rnacentral:rRNA from 1 species
CCUACGGGAGGCAGCAGUGAGGAAUAUUGGUCAAUGGGCGUAAGCCUGAACCAGCCAAGUCGCGUGAGGGAUGAAGGUUCUAUGGAUCGUAAACCUCUUUUAUAAGGGAAUAAAGUGCGGGACGUGUCCCGUUUUGUAUGUACCUUAUGAAUAAGGAUCGGCUAAUUCCGUGCCAGCAGCCGCGGUAAUACGGAGGAUCCGAGCGUUAUCCGGAUUUAUUGGGUUUAAAGGGUGCGUAGGCGGCCUUUUAAGUCGGCGGUGAAAUUUUGUGGCUCAACCAUAGAAUUGCCGUGGAAACUGGGAGGCUUGAGUAUGUGUAAGGCAGGCGGAAUGCGUGGUGUAGCGGUGAAAUGCUUAGAUAUCACGCAGAACCCCGAUUGCGAAGGCAGCCUGCCAAGCCAUGACUGACGCUGAUGCACGAAAGCGUGGGGAUCAAACAGGAUUAGAUACCCCAGUAGUC